rnacentral:rRNA from 1 species
GACGAACGCUGGCGGCGUGCUUAACACAUGCAAGUCGAACGGAAAGGCCCUGCUUUUGUGGGGUGCUCGAGUGGCGAACGGGUGAGUAACACGUGAGUAACCUGCCCUUGACUUUGGGAUAACUUCAGGAAACUGGGGCUAAUACCGGAUAGGAGCUCCUGCUGCAUGGUGGGGGUUAGAAAGUUUCGGCGGUUGGGGAUGGACUCGCGGCUUAUCAGCUUGUUGGUGGGGUAGUGGCUUACCAAGGCUUUGACGGGUAGCCGGCCUGAGAGGGUGACCGGCCACAUUGGGACUGAGAUACGGCCCAGACUCCUACGGGAGGCAGCAGUGGGGAAUAUUGCACAAUGGGCGGAAGCCUGAUGCAGCAACGCCGCGUGCGGGAUGACGGCCUUCGGGUUGUAAACCACUUUCGCCUGUGACGAAGCGUGAGUGACGGUAAUGGGUAAAGAAGCACCGGCUAACUACGUG